rnacentral:rRNA from 1 species
UACGGAGGGGGCUAGCGUUGUUCGGAAUUACUGGGCGUAAAGCGCGCGUAGGCGGACCUGCAAGUCGGGGGUGAAAGCCCGAGGCUCAACCUCGGAACUGCCUUCGAUACUGCGGGUCUCGAGUCCGGGAGAGGUGAGUGGAAUUCCUAGUGUAGAGGUGAAAUUCGUAGAUAUUAGGAAGAACACCAGUGGCGGAAAGGCGG